UACGUAGGUGGCAAGCGUUGUCCGGAUUUACUGGGCGUAAAGGGCGUGCAGGCGGUUUGUUAAGUGCAGGGUGAAAGCUCCCGGCUCAACUGGGAGAGGUCCUUGCAUACUGGCGAACUCGAGGGAGGCGAGGGUAGUGGAAUUCCCGGUGUAGUGGUGAAAUGCGUAGAUAUCGGGAGGAACACCGGUGGCGAAGGCGGUUCUCUGGGCAUUACCUGACGCUGAGGAGCGAAAGUGUGGGGAGCGAACAGG
rnacentral:rRNA from 1 species